rnacentral:rRNA from 1 species
AUUAGAGGAGUAAAGUCGUACAGUCUCCGUAGGUGACCCUGCGAGAUCAUAU